UACGUAGGGUGCAAGCGUUGUCCGGAAUUAUUGGGCGUAAAGAGCUCGUAGGCGGUUUGUCGCGUCUGCUGUGAAAACUCAGGGCUUAACCCUGAGCCUGCAGUGGGUACGGGCAGACUAGAGUGUGGUAGGGGAGAUCGGAAUUCCUGGUGUAGCGGUGGAAUGCGCAGAUAUCAGGAGGAACACCGGUGGCGAAGGCGGAUCUCUGGGCCAUAACUGACGCUGAGGAGCGAAAGCCAGGGGAGCAAACGGG
rnacentral:rRNA from 1 species